AUACGGGGGGUGCAAGCGUUAAUCGGAAUUACUGGGCGUAAAGCGCGUGUAGGCGGUUAAAUAAGUUGGAUGUGAAAUCCCCGGGCUCAACCUGGGAACUGCAUUCAAAACUGUUUAACUAGAGUAUGGUAGAGGGAAGUGGAAUUCCAGGUGUAGCGGUGAAAUGCGUAGAUAUCUGGAGGAACAUCAGUGGCGAAGGCGACUUCCUGGAUCAAUACUGACGCUGAGGUGCGAAAGCGGGGGGAGCAAACAGGAUUAGAUACCCCGGUAGUCC
rnacentral:rRNA from 1 species